GGGAUUCACGUGUAAGCAGUGAGGUGGUCAUGUAGGCAAAUCCGCAUGGCAUAACAUUGAGCUGUGAUGCCGAAGCCGAAUGGCGAAGUCAACUGACGUCACGCUUCCAAGAAAAGCUUCUAGGGUUAAUUUAAUAAGUGCCCGUACCGAUAACCGACACAGGUAGGCGAGGAGAGAAUCCUAAGAUGAGCGAGAGAACUCUUGUUAAGGAACUCGGCGAAAUGACCCCGUAACUUCGGGAGAAGGGGUGCUUGUGAAAGCAAGCCGCAGUGAAUAGGCCCAGGCGACUGUUUAUCAAAAACACAGGUCUCUGCUAAACCGCAAGGUGAUGUAUAGGGGCUGACGCCUGCCCGGUGCUGGAAGGUUAAGAGGAGAGGUUAGCGCAAGCGAAGCUUUGAAUUGAAGCCCCAGUAAACGGCGGCCGUAACAAUAACGGUCCUAAGGUAGCGAAAUUCCUUGUCGGGUAAGUUCCGACCCGCACGAAAGGCGUAACGAUCUGGGCGCUGUCUCAACAAGAGACUCGGUGAAAUCAUAGUACCUGUGAAGAUGCAGGUUACCCGCGACAGGACGGAAAGACCCCGUGGAGCUUUACUGUAGCUUGAUAUUGAGCACUGGUGGCACAUGUACAGGAUAGGUAGGAGACGAAGAAACCAGGACGCCAGUCUUGGUGGAGUCGCUGUUGGGAUACUACCCUUGUGUCACUGGGGUUCUAACCCGUGGCCCUUAUCGGGUCAGGGAACAGUGUCAGGUGGGCAGUUUGACUGGGGCGGUCGCCUCCCAAAGAGUAACGGAGGCGCCCAAAGGUUCCCUCAGAAUGGUUGGAAAUCAUUCGAAGAGUGUAAAGGCAGAAGGGAGCUUGACUGCGAGACCUACAAGUCGAGCAGGGACGAAAGUCGGGCUUAGUGAUCCGGCGGUACCGAAUGGAAGGGCCGUCGCUCAACGGAUAAAAGCUACCCCGGGGAUAACAGGCUGAUCUCCCCCAAGAGUUCACAUCGACGAGGAGGUUUGGCACCUCGAUGUCGGCUCAUCGCAUCCUGGGGCUGUAGUCGGUCCCAAGGGUUGGGCUGUUCGCCCAUUAAAGCGGUACGCGAGCUGGGUUCAGAACGUCGUGAGACAGUUCGGUCCCUAUCCGUCGUGGGCGUAGGAAAUUUGAGAGGAGCUGUCCUUAGUACGAGAGGACCGGGAUGGACACACCGCUGGUGUACCAGUUGUUCUGCCAGGAGCAUAGCUGGGUAGCUACGUGUGGACGGGAUAAACGCUGAAAGCAUCUAAGCGUGAAGCCCCCCUCAAGAUGAGAUUUCCCAUUCGAAAGAAGUAAGAUCCCUUGAAGACGACGAGGUUGAUAGGUCAGGAGUGGAAGUGUGGUGACACAUGGAGCGGACUGAUACUAAUCGAUCGAGGACUUAACCGA
rnacentral:rRNA from 1 species